rnacentral:lncRNA from 1 species
GUCCUCGCUCCCACUGCCUGGUGGCUCUUUCCACCGCCUUAGUUAUCCGAGUUCCUGUGCGAAGGGGUGCGACCUUGUGCAAACGUUGGAAUACACGGACAAGGAUAUUAAAACCCCACCAUUCUGCACGCGUGAGCCGUCCCGGUUCACGUUUUAGGGUGCUGCCAGUUCUGUGGACACAGUGUUGCAAGAUCAGUGGGAGCAACCUCGUGGCCUGCCUUCUUGCGACAGCAGGGUGAGGAGCCCAGAAGCCUGCCCAGGCCCCUUACUGGUGAGUACUGGAUCUGUGUGGACUACACUGGACCCAGAAA